rnacentral:rRNA from 2 species
CACUCUUGACAACAGAUAUCUUGAUUCUCACAUCGAAAAGAACAUAGCGAAAUACAAAAUCUUGUGAGCCGUUGAAUCUUUGAAUGCAAAUUGCUCCUAAAACUUCAAUCGAGAGCAC